rnacentral:sRNA from 1 species
CAGUAAGUUCUACAGAAAUUAGAUGCUGAAUUGAAAUUGUAUUUUUAUCCAAAAUAUAAGAAUCUAUUCAAGAAAAGGUUCACAGUGGAACAGGAAAUUGAUUUAAAAGAUGUUUUGAAGGCUCUUGGAAUAACUGAAAUUUUCAUCAAAGAUGCAAAUUUGACAGGCCUCUCUGAUAAUAAGGAGAUUUUUCUUUCCAAAGCAAUUCACAAGUCCUUCCUAGAGGUUAAUGAAGAAGGCUCAGAAGCUGCUGCUGUCUCAGGAAUGAUUGCAAUUAGUAGGAUGGCUGUGCUGUAUCCUCAAGUUAUUGUCGACCAUCCAUUUUUCUUUCUUAUCAGAAACAGGAGAACUGGUACAAUUCUAUUCAUGGGACGAGUCAUGCAUCCUGAAACAAUGAACACAAGUGGACAUGAUUUCGAAGAACUUUAAGUUACUUUAUUUGAAUAACAAGGAAAACAGUAACUAAGCACAUUAUGUUUGCAACUGGUAUAUAUUUAGGAUUUGUGUUUUACAGUAUAUCUUAAGAUAAUAUUUAAAAUAGUUCCAGAUAAAAACAAUAUAUGUAAAUUAUAAGUAACUUGUCAAGGAAUGUUAUCAGUAUUAAGCUAAUGGUCCUGUUAUGUCAUUGUGUUUGUGUGCUGUUGUUUAAAAUAAAAGUACCUAUUGAA